GUUGAAUUGAAGACAAUAAAAUUUCCACAAAUUUUGACCAUCGCAAGGCAACAGAGUUUAUGAUCAGCGCGAGCUAAUUACACUGCGAUCAGUGAUCAUAGCUAUGAGAUCGUGGUUUUUACUCAGCAUACAAUCUACAAAUUAAAUUAAAAAUUAAAAGAAGACGAAGAAGUAAUGGUGGAUUUGCUUACAUGUAAGCAUCUAGCAAAAGCUG
rnacentral:misc_RNA from 1 species